UACAGAGGUCUCAAGCGUUGUUCGGAUUCAUUGGGCGUAAAGGGUGUGUAGGUGGCGCUGUAAGUCGGGUGUGAAAUCUCGGGGCUUAACUCCGAAGCUGCAUUCGAUACUGCGGUGCUUGAGGACUGGAGAGGAGACUGGAAUUCAUGGUGUAGCAGUGAAAUGCGUAGAGAUCAUGAGGAAGACCAGUGGCGAAGGCGGGUCUCUGGACAGUUCCUGACACUGAGACACGAAGGCCAGGGGAGCAAACGGG
rnacentral:rRNA from 1 species